rnacentral:rRNA from 1 species
AACGAACGCUGGCGGCAUGCCUAACACAUGCAAGUCGAACGAGACCUUCGGGUCUAGUGGCGCACGGGUGCGUAACGCGUGGGAACCUGCCCUUAGGUUCGGAAUAACUCCCCGAAAGGGGUGCUAAUACCGGAUAAUGUCUUCGGACCAAAGAUUUAUCGCCUUUGGAUGGGCCCGCGUUGGAUUAGCUAGUUGGUAGGGUAAAAGCCUCCCAAGGCGAGGAUCACUAGCUGGUCUGAGAGGAUGGUCAGCCACUCUUGGACUGGGAUACGGCCCAGACUCCUACGGGAGGCAGCAGUGGGGAAUAUUGGACAAUGGGGGAAAGCCUGAUCCAGCAAUGCCGCGUGAGUGAUGAAGGCCUUAGGGUUGUAAAGCUCUUUUACCCGGGAUGAUAAUGACAGUACCGGGAGAAUAAGCUCCGGCUAACUCCGUG